AGUUGAUCCUGGCUCACGAUGAACGCUGGCGGCGUGCCUAACACAUGCAAGUCGAGCGAGAAGCUACCUAUGAUCCUUCGGGAGAUUAGACUAGUGGACAGCGGCGGACGGGUGAGUAACGCGUAAAUAACCUGCCAUACACACAAGGAUAGCCAUCGGAAACGGUGAUUAAUACUUGAUGAAGCUACAUAUUCGCAUGAAUGAGUAGUUAAAGAAUUUUGGUGUAUGAUGGAUUUGCGUUUGAUUAGCUAGUUGGUAAGGUAAAGGCUUACCAAGGCAAUGAUCAAUAGCCGGCCUGAGAGGGUGAACGGCCACACUGGAACUGAGACACGGUCCAGACUCCUACGGGAGGCAGCAGUGGGGAAUAUUGCACAAUGGAGGGAACUCUGAUGCAGCAACGCCGCGUGAACGAAGAAGGCUUUCGAGUCGUAAAGUUCUGUUAUAGGGGAAGAAGAAGUGACGGUACCCUAUGAGAAAGCCACGGCUAAUUACGUGCCAGCAGCCGCGGUAAUACGUAAGUGGCAAGCGUUAUCCGGAAUUACUGGGCAUAAAGCGUUCGUAGGCGGUUAAACAAGCCAAUAGUGAAAUCCACCAGCCUAACUGGUGUCAGCUAAUGGAACUGUAUAACUUGAGUACAGGAGAGGAAAGUGGAAUUCCUAGUGUAGUAGUGAAAUGCGUAGAUCUUAGGAAGAACAUCAGUAGCGAAGGCGACUUUCUGGACCUGCUAACCUGCACGCCUGAGGAACGAACGCGUGGGGAGCGAAC
rnacentral:rRNA from 1 species